rnacentral:tRNA from 1 species
GCCUGGGUGGCUCAGCGGAUGAGCGUCUGCCUUUUGGCUCAGGUCGUGAUCGUGGGGUCCUGGGAUCAAGUCCCACCUCAGGCU